GCACCCAUAGCUCAAUUGGAUAGAGCGUCUGACUACGGAUCAGAAGGUUAGGAGUUCGAGUCUCUUUGGGUGUGCCA
rnacentral:tRNA from 1 species